CUACCUACAUGACCACAACAGCCAGCAUUUACGUCUGCUCAUACAUAAAUACAUACAUACAUACAAACAUAAAUAAAUGCAGCAGCCUAGCUCCCCGUGAAGAACACAGGAAACCACUGUGCUUCAUCAGACGAGAGCUUCCAUCCUGCAGUGCUAGUUAGUGCCAUUCCACAUUAACAAAUACUACUACUACUAGAAGCCUCACUGUCACUGGGAUAUUUGCAAUCUCUCUCAUAAUAUCUUGCUCCGAAAUAACACAAAAGAUCACAUGCCCAAUUCAGCCACAUUGACAAUCGGCAAUAACAUAAUCAACUUAAUAAUAAGAGGAUUAAACAAAGCAGCAGUGUGACAACUUCAGAGGAAAUGCAGUUAAUUAACUAAAGAACUCCCCAGCAGGAUAAUAUAAUAUCCAUUAUGUCCAGAAAGGAUAUAGAAGAUGAUGAUGUAUAUACAUCUAAGCACACCAAGUAGCAGCACUCCUAGUUGCAUAUCACGGACGAACCCCAAACCGAAAACUUCUAAACAAGAAAGGCAAAAAUUAUAGGUGGAUUACUAGACACAAUAACGAAUCCCAACUUCUGACAUAUUUAACCCCAUAUUGACUUGGACGAUCCAACGAACGAACGAACGAAAAUUGGCUGGCAGACUCUGUUAACCCAUGCUGAAUCUAGGA
rnacentral:lncRNA from 1 species